CGGACGGGUGAGUAACACGUGGAUAACCUACCUAUAAGACUGGGAUAACUUCGGGAAACCGGAGCUAAUACCGGAUAAUAUUUUGAACCGCAUGGUUCAAAAGUGAAAGACGGUCUUGCUGUCACUUAUAGAUGGAUUCGCGCUGCAUUAGCUAGUUGGUAAGGUAACGGCUUACCAAGGCAACGAUGCAUAGCCGACCUGAGAGGGUGAUCGGCCACACUGGAACUGAGACACGGUCCAG
rnacentral:rRNA from 1 species